rnacentral:rRNA from 1 species
AACGGAGCUUGGAGAGCUUGCUUUUUAAGCUUAGUGGCGAACGGGUGAGUAACGCGUGAGUAACCUGCCCUAGAGUGGGGGACAACAGUUGGAAACGACUGCUAAUACCGCAUAAGCGCACAGUGCCGCAUGGCACAGUGUGAAAAACUCCGGUGGUACAGGAUGGACCCGCGUCUGAUUAGAUAGUUGGUGGGGUAACGGCCCACCAAGCCGACGAUCAGUAGCCGACCUGAGAGGGUGACCGGCCACAUUGGGACUGAGACACGGCCCAAACUCC